rnacentral:rRNA from 1 species
AUGGACCAAUCCAUCCCUUUUUCCCGUGCAUAUGCAUCGGACUUCGAUGACGAUGGUCCCGAUGAAGAAGUUGAUGAGGAGGGGUUCACGCCCAAGGAGGCCCAAGCAUUCAAGAAGGUAUUCGGGCGGGAUCACAAGACACCAUUGUUCAAGGAUCUUAGUCUCGCGGAUGAAGCCGUUGUGGAUGGUGGCAAAUGCAUAUCUCUUGGAGCUAGGCCAAGUUCUCACCGUGAUUUGGAAGACGGCAAGAACGGGAUAUAUCCCGGUUGUGAGUUUCAAUCCUUCUUGGAAUUGAAGAUGUGGCUCGACAACUACUCGGUUAUGCAUUAUCGUCCACAUAAAGUGGCCAACUCGGACGUCAAAGUGCGUUACACGGUCAAAUGUGAAGUGCCAACAUGUCCAUGA